CAGCAGCCGCGGGAAUACGAAGGGGGCUAGCGUUGUUCGGAAUCACUGGGCGUAAAGCGCACGUAGGCGGACCUUUAAGUCAGGGGUGAAAGCCUGGAGCUCAACUCCAGAACUGCCUUUGAUACUGGAGGUCUCGAGUGUGGAAGAGGUUGGUGGAACUGCGAGUGUAGAGGUGAAAUUCGUAGAUAUUCGCAAGAACACCAGUGGCGAAGGCGGCCAACUGGUCCAUUACUGACGCUGAGGUGCGAAAGCGUGGGGAGCAAACAGGAUUAGAUACCCGCGUAGUCCCUGUCUCUUAUAC
rnacentral:rRNA from 1 species